rnacentral:rRNA from 1 species
UACGGAGGGUGCAAGCGUUAUCCGGAUUCACUGGGUUUAAAGGGUGCGUAGGUGGGUUGGUAAGUCAGUGGUGAAAUCUCCGAGCUUAACUUGGAAACUGCCAUUGAUACUAUCAAUCUUGAAUACUGUGGAGGUCAGCGGAAUAUGUCAUGUAGCGGUGAAAUGCUUAGAUAUGACACAGAACACCAAUUGCGAAGGCAGCUCACUAAGCUGUAACUGACACUGAGGCACGAAAGCGUGGGGAGCAAACAGG